rnacentral:rRNA from 1 species
UACGGGGGGAGCAAGCGUUGUUCGGAAUUACUGGGCGUAAAGGGCGCGUAGGCGGCCUUCUAAGUCGAACGUGAAAUCCCUGGGCUCAACCCAGGAACUGCGUCUGAUACUGGAUGGCUUGAAUCCGGGAGAGGGAUGCAGAAUUCCAGGUGUAGCGGUGAAAUGCGUAGAGAUGUGGAGGAACACCUGUGGCGAAGGCGCCUUGCUGGCCGAUUUCUGACGCUGAGGCGCGAAAGCGUGGGGAGCGAACAGG